UAAUACUUUACUCUGAUUUUUUUCUUUUCCAGCAUGGUACAGUUGACAAUGGAGCUUUAGGUGAUGGUUGAGCCACAAGGUGGAAGGAUUCUGGGCCUCUAAAUCACCAGAAACUGCCAAACCUACAAGGAUACUUUGUUUGGGCUAUUUUGGACCAAGAUCCUUGACUUGACACUCUAGAUCAGUUGGAGAAAGAAAAAAACUCCAAUUGCACAUGUGUUAGACCACCCAAUAUAUUCUCACAGAUAGUUUGGUAUGCAAAUGGUGUUUGCUUUCACAUCAUUCUUGAUACUCGUCAUCCCUGAAGAACAGGAGCCAGGAGUAGAGCAUGCCUUUGGAGGUGAUGGUGGACUUUUGGCCUUAAUUUCUUCCUAAAUCAAAGGUAUAAUAUAACCAAUAUACAU